UACGAAGGGGGCUAGCGUUGCUCGGAAUCACUGGGCGUAAAGCGCACGUAGGCGGCUUACUAAGUCAGUGGUGAAAUCCUGGAGCUCAACUCCAGAACUGCCUUUGAUACUGGUGAGCUUGAGUCCGGGAGAGGUGAGUGGAACUGCGAGUGUAGAGGUGAAAUUCGUAGAUAUUCGCAAGAACACCAGUGGCGAAGGCGGCUCACUGGCCCGGUACUGACGCUGAGGUGCGAAAGCGUGGGGAGCAAACAGG
rnacentral:rRNA from 1 species